AUUGCUUCGUCCGCGUCGUCUCCGCAACGAGAGCCGCCAUCUUCUCGCGCCUAACGUUUUGUAUGGUUUUGUUCUCUGCAAUCCGCGCGCACAGCUCAUCGGUGGCUGCACGUCUGCUCGGCGUCGCAAUGCGGCCUGCGUCAUUUUCUGGUGCUCGCGCAAUCGGUGUGAAACAUGUCGCAUGUGAAAUGUUUGAUAGAAGUGCCUCACGUCCAAGUCAAGCCGCCGUACGGGUGUAUGGCUGUGCGCCCCGUUCUCGGAAGCGUCGACGGGUUUCCGGCAUGCGGAUUUCAGCGUUUGGACUCUACUUUUGGUGAGGAUGUCGAUCGACCUUGGGCCUGGCGACAGCACACCCGACAUCGCCAAAGUGCAGCCUAUCAGUUGAGUGCCCCCGAAUGGACCAUCAACAUUGGAAAAUGAAGCAGAGCCAGGGGGAAAAGGUUCCGGUAACACUGCAUUCAGUAUGGUGGCCCAGACGUGUAUGCAAGCAACCUCCUUCAUGUGGACCAAGAACUACUCUGCAGUGUCUCACAGACUUCCAUGCGAAGCCCUCAACAUUCUCGUCUCAGUGGAAUGGCUGCUCAUCUAUCUGCGUGUCCAUCACCAAGAUGGCCAGUUGUAAAGCUCCUGUACCCGUUUAAGACAGCUUAAUGAUUUUUUUUAUUUAGUUUUCAUGGUUGGCCGUAGAAUCUUAACAUUUUUGAUGUUUCUAACGUUUUUACCUGGCCCAAAGUGGUGCAAUAACUUUAAACCAGUGUAAUGUAUUUAAGUGAUGCUCACUCUAAUGCCUAUCUGGUUUUGUUUGUGUUUAAGAAAUUUGAAUGUCUGAUGAGGUAACAGCAUUUAAACUUGUCAUCGUGGCUCUUUUCAGUGAGCUGCUAGGAAAUAAGAUGCAAAACUUAUCACACGCCAGUUGUAGCAUUUUUGUUUUCAAGACUAAAGUAUACAUGUUUCAAAAGAUGCAAAGUGGGGAAAAAAGCCUCAAGAACAUAAUCAUUCUAGGAUUGUCAUGUCCUUACAACUCUGCAAUGACUAAUGCCUCAUACAUCUUGGGAGCACAUUGGUCGCAAUGCCUACAGGUAUACUUGAUAAGAGAAUAGCUUGCACUCAGAUUUGCCACGCAGUUGAUGGCUGAUAGCUUUUGUUUGUCGUCUUCAUGUUACUACUA